UACAGAGGGUGCAAGCGUUAAUCGGAUUUACUGGGCGUAAAGCGUGCGUAGGCGGUUCAGUAUGUCGGUCGUGAAAUCCCCGGGCUUAACCUGGGAACUGCGGCCGAAACUGCUGAGCUCGAGUGUGGUAGAGGAAGGUGGAAUUCCAGGUGUAGCGGUGAAAUGCGUAGAUAUCUGGAGGAACACCGAUGGCGAAGGCAGCCUUCUGGGCCACAACUGACGCUGAGGUACGAAAGCGUGGGGAGCAAACAGG
rnacentral:rRNA from 1 species